rnacentral:lncRNA from 1 species
CCUCCUCUCCUUGCACAGAGCUCUAUAAUAAAUGAAGAGUGUGCAAUUAUGCCUGGGGGUUCCCAUCUGCUUACGAUUACCUCUCUGCGCUUGCCCACAGGAAGACACUGGGAAGUCACCGAAAAGAAGGGCGAUUUCUUAGCCACCCAUUUAGAAGAAUGUCAGCUGCCCUAGCAUGAUUUACAGCGUGAGCACGAGGAUCUGAAAAAAGAAAAAAAAAAAAAAAAGGCUACCAGCCCCACUGCUCUACUGCAUUCUGGAAACUUCUGAGUUAUUUUUAUUGAAAGAGCGUGCUCAUCUAAACGUGGAGCUUCUGCCCAGCAUCUGAACAAUUCUCUGCGUGUCACGCUAACCUAAGAAUGGAUAAAUUGGAUCCCAUCAUAUUAACAAACACUGAUCUGUUCUGACACCACUGAGGAGAAAGUUUGAGUGCAGGGACUGGUAUAAACGGCCCUGGGCAUACGAGAAGCUGAUCUUUUCAGAGAAAAGCUGCCUGAGAAAAAGCUCAUCUCCCCUAAAGCUGCCCAUGCAUGCGGAAGAGGGGCAUCAUAAGCUCAAAUCCCAAGGAAAAUGGCCCAGGUUAAGUGGUAAAAAUGUAUUUGAUCGAGUUAUAUGGGCAAGUAGAUGCUGGGGUGUGGGAGGCCUAGAGGGAAGAAAGGGCAGGGCUAAUGGGGAUGUUCAGGAAAGUCACAUUGCUGGGGUUGCAGAUAACCUUGGAAUGUCUUGUGUUAAAGGCUGAAUCUAUUCAAAGAUUGGUAGAUGGAAGCGGCUGCCAUCAGUGAGAAACCCUGCCCUAGUAGGGCUGAGUCUAAAUUGACUCAAGCGGAUGCACAGAGGCAUCCUGUAACUGUCAGGUGCUUUAGACUCUUCCCAGCCAGUUCAACAUUAUAGUCAAUAAUGUAUAUUCAACAUUUGCCUUUUAGCUUCUCUUUACUGAUCAGAUCCUGGCUAAAACAGGUGAAAAUUUCUUAAGAAAACUCCUGACAAAAUAAAAGUUUUCUUCCAUCUACAUAAUAAUUGUGUUCCUAAGAAAUUCAGUGGUUAUAAAAUGGUAUGAAAGUAAAAAUCUUGUGUAUUUGUAUGUAGAAUAAAAAAAACUAUAAUAUUUUCCAAUGCCUAUAGAUACCAUUCAGAGCUGAACAGCUAUACACAUGCCUGGCAAUUGUACCUAGCAUAACUCUGUCUGUGGUGGGGAACAACAGUUCUACCCACUACCGUGUGAUCACAAUUGCUUGUAUUAUCUCUAUGUGCCACAAAUUCUAACCUGUGUGUGACACUGUUGUGUGCAAUAGAAGAUGACCCUUCACUUUGUUGAACUAUCCCACCGAUGCAUUGAGCAUCCCUGGCCUCAACUAAUUUUGACAGUACCAUGCUCAAUCAUUUUGACAACCCAAAACACACCACAGAACAACCUACUUUGUAUCUGAGAACAAUUCAUUCACAUCUUAUGCCUCUGAUCUCUGUAUUAUUUAUUAUCACCAUUUUUAUUGUGCUAAUAAUACUUAAUAUAAGAACUACAUGUUUGAAAAGAUUUUUAAUAUCUUGGUUUCCUUAAGUUUUGAGAGUUUCAAAUAUUAAAUUUUUGUUUUAUUUUGCUUUUAUAUCUUGAAAUAUAGUACAGUUACGUCAUUUUCUCUCUUUCCUAUCUUGACUCCAAGCCCUGCCAUCACCCAUCUCAAAUUCAAAUUCAUUUUCUUUGUUAUUGUUACACACACAUGCUCACACACAUAUCCAUAGAUAAAUAAAUUGCUACAUAUGUUUUGUGUUACUUAUAUGCCUAUAAUUUCGGAACAAACCAACUUGUACUGGAUAACCAAUUAGGAAGCUCCUCUCUGGGGAAAACUCUUUCUCUUCUCAGCAUUUCUUAUUUUCCUGGAGUUCUUAAUGAUGGUGGCUUGUGUGUUUUGAUUAUAUUUAUGAUCUUCCCCAUUUCCUCCCAGAAUCAUUCCCAUUCAAUACCCAAACGAUCGUGUGUCCUCAGUCAUCAUUUUAAAAUACACCAAAUACAAUUCCUUCUGCCUGCAUAAUCUCAGCUGUGUGACCAUCCACUGGAGAGUGCUCCACCUAAGAAGAGCCACACCUCUAAAGAAAAGUGACUCUCCUUUCUGAGCAGCUAUCAACCACUCACUGCUCCACAGCUAAAGGAUGCUUGGUGCUUCCCUCAAUAUAAAAGCUACCAGCAGGGAUGACACUUCUGGGUCAAUACCAACUUGAUUCUAUGCCGGGAACCAUGACCUCAUCCAUGGCCUUGUGGAUAUUUUCUACCUUACAGAAACAAUCCUGAGAGAACAUUCGUGGUCAUAACAGUAAGAAUGUUUAUGGGGAAAGAGGACACUGUGACCGUUGGUUCCAGGAGCUGAAGAUUGCCACCUGACCUUCAGAGAGCCCCCGGGCUCUUCCCCCCAUCCUCGGAGCCUUCUCUUGCUUAUGCUUAUAUUGCCACUCCUGAAUAAAGUUUUCAGAGCUUGAUCAGUAU